UGGGGAAUAUUGCGCAAUGGGGGGAACCCUGACGCAGCAACGCCGCGUGAGUGAAGAAGGCCUUCGGGUCGUAAAACUCUGUCAUUGGGGAAGAAGGAAGUGACGGUACCCAAGGAGGAAGCCCCGGCUAACUACGUGCCAGCAGCCGCGGUAAUACGUAGGGGGCGAGCGUUGUCCGGAAUUACUGGGCGUAAAGGGUGCGUAGGCGGCCAGAUAAGUCAGAUGUGAAAUACCACGGCUCAACUGUGGGGGUGCAUUUGAAACUGUGUGGCUUGAGUGCAGGAGAGGAAAGUGGAAUUCCUAGUGUAGCGGUGAAAUGCGUAGAGAUUAGGAGGAACACCAGUGGCGAAGGCGACUUUCUGGACUGUAACUGACGCUGAGGCACGAAAGCGUGGGGAGCGAACAGG
rnacentral:rRNA from 1 species